rnacentral:rRNA from 1 species
GACGAACCACACGAACGUUAUUCGGAAUUACUGGGCUUAAAGGGUGCGUAGGCGGUGCAGCAAGUCGGGAGUGAAAUACCUCAGCUUAACUGAGGAACUGCUUUCGAUACUGCUGUGCUUGAGUGAGACAGAGGUAAGCGGAACUUAGGGUGGAGCGGUGAAAUGCGUUGAUAUCCUAAGGAACACCGGUGGCGAAGGCGGCUUACUGGGUCUCUACUGACGCUGAGGCACGAAAGCCAGGGUAGCAAACGGG